AUCAACUGAUAUACCAGACACAAUCUGCAUGGUGUUGGCAUGAGGGCUUCAGUAACGAGCAUGAGGCUUUUCUGAAAGGCACUAAUUGCUCUGUUCCUCAGAGGGUUCCGAAGCAAGCGCUGAGGAUUGGGGAGUGGUACAGAACAAGGGGCUGUGUAGAUUUAUUGAUAAGCUGGGAAAGGUAGGUGGAUGAACUGUGACAAAAAGGAGUUCAGGCAAAGCAGUGAGAGGGAACUCAAGCAAAGGAACAGACAGGGAGGAUGGGAGAAAAAGUGGGGAGGUGGGAGGGGGAAAAUGAGAAGAGGGUUUCUUCUUGCUUCCUAAACAGAGGCUGCUAGCUCUUUAGCAGCAGCAAAGCAAAGCUUCUGAUAAAAAAAAAAAAAAAAAAAAAAAACACUGCAAAGACUUGUGUGGGGGACAACUUAAUCAAAAGGGAAGGGCAUGAGGAGCUAUUGAACCUGGCAGGUGGCGCUAUAGACUGGAAAACUGUAGAAGUGACAAGGAGGUUUUCACUGGAAACGUUGCUGAACACCGCUGCCUUCCAUUAUUCUCUUCGUCACUUUGCCUGCUGCUCACAGACACUGGAACUGUGGCUACACAUUCUGCCUUUCCCCCCUCUCCCCCAAAAGUCCUCAUUAGCAUGCCCUUAAAGCCAUGAUUUUCCAGUGGGGAUCUAUAAAGCAUGCUGGAUGAUGUUAUCUUGCACCUUAGAUGCUUUAGGGUAAGUGUCCCGUUUCCAGGUAAGGUGAGCAUCAAGAUCAUGGGAACCACAGUCAUUACCCUUGAAGACGUGCGAGCACUGGAGGUCAAGGAGGAGCAGGAGGAGUCCAUCUUGGCAAUGUUAGGCAUCCUUGGCACAUUUCUUAACCUCUUUGUAAUCGUUUUUGUGUACAUCUACACCACACUGUGAAGUGUCAAAUUAGAAGAUAAGGGAUUUCUAAAAACCUGCUAUCAGAUAAGAUGUCUAUAAGAAAGACUGAAACGAACAGUGGGUGUUAAGAAAGUGACAUGUUGAGAAGCUUGUCAUGAACAUCUUCCUCAAAGAGAAGAGAAGGAAAUGGGACAGACUGGCUAAGGAUGAGGACAAAGAAGCCAUACUGCCAAGUCACAGUCAUGAACAGGGGAGAUAACAAAGGGCUGGAAGACAUGGCAAAAGCAGGGCUAUCCUGGAAACAGGGUGCGCAAGAGUCGCAUGGACACAGGCAAGCAGCCAACCAGGACUGACGCCCCCCAUGGCCUAAGAAGAAAUACAGAUUUCUUCUUGAUCUAAGAUCUUGGAGUGCUGACUCGCUGAAAUGAUAUGCUUAACAGGACAGUCCUGUUGACAGCACUGAUGUUUAUCCCUGCAUUUUUACUCACUUUUCAAGUUUGUGGAACUUUAAUUGCUACUUUCUUGAAAGAGCUUUUAAACAUGCUGUUUAAAAGCAGAGCCUAUAAGAAGUAUGGUGAGAAGCCACCCUGGAGACACUGCUGGCCACUACAUUCAUGCUGUUGUUGGAGCCAAAACCGUGAUAGUUUUGGGGCUCCUGUCAGAGGACCCCCUACCUGCAAUCUCAAUAAUGCUCUCAACACACAAAUGAUAACCAUUAAUAGCAAACAUAUUUCUAUUUAAAAACAUACAUGCACCAAUUUUAGCAGAAUGCUAAUGAAUUUCUAGAAAUGUAACUGGGGAAAAAAAACUCCAAAAUGUGGGAAAAGGGUGGCUGGGGGUAUUUUUUUAACAGAAAAUGUAUAUGUAAAAAAAUUGAGCUUUAGAAAAAGAUUUAAAUAAUUUAAUCAACUUGUAAUCAAAUAAUAUAGCUGAUUUAAUUGUACAAUAAAACAGGAGCUAUAAUGUACUUACUUGAUCCCUUCCACUUUUUACAAACUGGUGAAUGGGAGGGUGGGUUGAAAGAUUCUCUUAAUUUAUUUGGUCAUGUUUAUUUUACGGUAGUAUCAGCAGUACUUUUCCUGUAUUAACAAUGCUUUUUAUAAAUAUUUGAACAAAGUCUAAAUGUAUUGUGCAAUAUGGGACAUUUGAACAAUAAACAGAGGACAUAUACAAGGACAGCCCUUAUGUGAGAAACCUUGAGUGUGUGUGAAAGACUGGGUGAGAGAAGGUGUGAGGAUCAUCAUAUGCGAUCACAAAACCACCAUGCCCCACUAUAAGAAAUAUGCAAAUGUGUCCCCCCCCCAAAGCACUUUUAAAUGACCAAUCAUUAAAUGGCUCCAAAAGCUAAAAGAAAGCAAAUUUUCUACCCUCAACAUUAGGCAUUAAACACGCCUGCAAAAAGUACAGAACGACUUCAGUCCUGCUUCAGUUGAUUUACAUGUCAACCAGCAAGGGUAAACACAACAGCAGGGAGAGCAGCUUGAGAGACAAAGGAGGCUAUUUUGUAUCACCUGCACACCAUACACAGCUAAUCACCGGCAUGAACACACAUAAACCUUAUAUGUUUUCAUGUGAUGAUCUGUAUGGUUGCAUGAUUCUAAUCACAAGAAAAUGCUGAGUGGUACAAGCAAACAUCUUCCAACCAAUCCAACAAACAUCUUUGAGAAGUGCAUCAUUGCUCUUUUAAUUACAAAAAUUAUCACAGGUGGUGGCAUCCCCACCUCCCAUCCCCUAUCCACUUGAAAGUUGCUAUCUGCCCAUUUCAACUGCCAGGAGUAAAGCCUGAGGUAAACCAAUCAACAUUUCCAUGGAUGAGCAGCGACAAAUUGCAAAUCCACAAACCUACAGGGAAAGAAUGGUAAUGAAUGAAGGUUUCUCGCUUGGCUUUCACCUUGUACUGACUGUAAUAAUAUGUCUUGUGAUGAGGGAGAUCCUUGAAGUAAACGUGUAUCAGUUUGCAAAUAAAACUCCUUACCUGAGCAUAUCUAA